AACGAACGCUGGCGGCAUGCUUAACACAUGCAGGUCGAACGAAAACCAAGGGGCUUGCUCUUUGGGGAAAGUGGCGCACGGGUGAGUAACGCGUGGAUAACGUGCCCUAGGGUUGGGGAUAACUCGCCGAAAGGUGAGCUAAUACCGAAUGUGUUCUUUUUGGGUGCGCCUGAAAAGAAGAAAGCAGGGCAACCUGCGCCCAAGGAUCGGUCCGCGUUCCAUCAGCUUGUUGGUAGGGUAAUGGCCUACCAAGGCUACGACGGAUAGCUGGUCUGAGAGGAUGAUCAGCCACACUGGAACUGAGACAC
rnacentral:rRNA from 1 species